CGUUAUCCGGAAUUAUUGGGCGUAAAGAGCUCGUAGGCGGUUUGUCGCGUCUGCCGUGAAAGUCCGGGGCUCAACUCCGGAUCUGCGGUGGGUACGGGCAGACUAGAGUGAUGUAGGGGAGACUGGAACUCCUGGUGUAGCGGUGAAAUGCGCAGGUAUCAGGAGGAGCACCGAUGGCGAAGGCAGGUCUCUGGGCAUUAACUGACGCUGAGGAGCGAAAGCAUGGGGAGCGAACAGG
rnacentral:rRNA from 1 species